AUCUGCCCACUUCAGACUCCCAAAGUGCUGGGAUCACAGGAGUGAGCACCACGCCUGGCCAACCUCCCUAAUUCGAAUGUCAUAUUUUACAAGAAGGAUGCCUACUGUCAGUUUCACACGAUUCAAAACUGUGUUCCAAGAAUAUGAGUAGGAGCUGAAAUGCACUCACAUAGCUCAUAAAUCUGCACAACCAUCUCACCACAUUUUUGCUUUUGAUCCUGCUUUGUAUUUUUGCAGCAUUAUCUGUACCUGCAGGCAGUCUUCUAAAUUAACAGCACCACCUGUCAUGGAGGUGUUUCAGUCUUCUUCAUGGUGUCUCAUCAUGUCCAAUAUCCACUCCAAAGGAGCUGAACAAUACAGUUCUCAUAGAGCAGUUGGGUCUGAGCAUAAAAGCCCAUCAAUAAGGAGCAGGUGACACUGCCACAGCUGGGUAAUUUGUCUCUUUGCUCGUCUAUAGCCCAUUUGGCGAUGAUCUAUUUGUUCCUGGGAAUGGAUGAUGGCAGGUUUGUCGAUAUUUUACACUUAUGAACCUGCCUGUUCCUCUCCGCCCAGCUCUGCCCAUCUGUCUUUGUCUCUGGCUCUUCUCAUUUUGUUUUGCAGAUUGGACAACAAACCUUGGCAAAGAGUUAUAAAGGUAGAUUCUGUGAGGGCAGCUUUGGGAAGGGAGGAGGGCAGGAGAGGAGGGGUCCACUCUCUGCAGGAGGGGCGGGUAGGAGACACGUUCAGGAGAAAGAAAUGUCACAGACAUAGGGGUGGGCAGAAAGGAACUUCAGAGAGAAAUCCUAGGACAGAGGACAGUGGGAGGCUUUCUUGUAGAAGACAGCUAGAAGAACUGAGUCCAACCCUAAUAAAGUUGGGCCUAGUAAAAAGCUAAUUGUGCUAGCUAGCCUCCAGGAUGGCUCACAUGACUCUCACAUGUUGAUAUUUAUACCCAUUGGUUAGACAUGCAGCCCUGCUCACAUGUUGAUAUUUACAUUCUGAGCAUGGAUGGCACGUGCCUGCAGUCCUAGCUACUUAGGAGGCUGAGUCAGAAGGGACUGCUUGAGCCCAGGAGUUGAAGACUUCAGUGAGCUAUGAUUGUGCCACUGCACUCCAGCCGGGGCAACAGAACAAGACCCUGACUCUUGCUGAGGAGGGCUGCAUGUCCAACCAAUGGGAUGUACAAAAUCGACAGUGUGACUUCCAAGGCCAGAUCACUAAAGUUCUUGAAGGUUUCACCUUAGUCUUUCUGGGAUCACUCACUCUGGGGGCAGCCAGAAGUCAUAUGGUAAGGACACUCAAGCAGCCCUCUGGAGAAGCCCGUGUGGCAAGGAACUGAGAUCUCCUGCCAGCCACCAGCACUAAUUUGCCAGGGAUAACAUUACUACUGUAAAACCUAAGAUUGAUGCUCAAGAUAUUUUUCCGGUCCUGUACUCAACGGAUCUGCUGGCGACACACAGAUUAAUAAACAGGCUCAUCUGGUCUUGCGGCCCCCACCCCGAGAUCCACUCAGCAGGAGAGAACAGCUUCAACCCCUAUGAUUGCAUCUCCAACCUGUCCAAUCAGUACUCUCCACUCUCUGGCCCCCUACCCAGCAAAUUAUCCUUAAUAAAACCCGGUCUCUGAAUUUUCAGGGAGACCGAUUUGAGUAAUAAUACAACUCUGGUCUCCCAUUCAGCCAGCUCGGCAUGAAGUAAACUCUCUAUUGCAAUUCCCGUCUUGAUAAAUACACUCUGUCUGGGCAAUGGGCAAAAUGAAGCCACAGGGUUGUUAUACUGACCCUCUGCUGCACAUCCCCGACAGCCCUGUUAAGAACCCUUGGUAUUGCCGGGCGCUGUGGCUCACGCCUAUAAUCCCAGCUCCUAGGGAGGCAGAGGCGGGAGGAUAGUUU